UUUGCAAUCAGCGUCUGUCAUCGUUCAACAGUAUAUUCAUCAAAGUGUUCAAUAUAAAUUUUUUACAUCUAUUGUUAAAUGUUUAAGUGUAUAAAAACAGUAACGAUUGUUUUGUCUUUCAUUCGAUAAACCUAGUCAGAAAUCAACUUUAAUUCAUUAUGCCAUAAAGCUGUUGUGUAGAUUUUAAAUUUUACAAACCCUAGUUGAAUUCCAGUCCCAAAUAAUCGAGAGUAUAAUAUAAAAGUUCAAAUUCAGUAGAAAAAUAGAAUGUACAUUAUUGAAUGUUGGUGAUUUAAAAUUAGUUUGUCAAUCUAGCAUGAUUGUGACACAUUGUCGUGAGUGGCAAUCUCAAUAGGCCAUGAAACAGUACUUUUGGAAACAAAGUCUCUAAGAUCAGAUUUGAUCUUGACAAAUCUUCGCUUGAACUCGAUACCGCAUCCUUUGGACAAUCUAAAAUCUACGAGUGUUUUCCCAUCCAUAUCAACGAUGUUUGCUUUGAAAACAAGAGGCAUUUUCCGUCUAUCAACAGUUGUAACUGUGAUCUGAAAGAAGAAUGUGAUAUUAUUAGCAAAAUUUCAAUUGUUCUCGUGACAAAAAGUUCUUACAAUGAUAUUUUUUAGAAUUUGUAGGUAAUCUAUGAUCAGAGUAACUAUCGAGUUCUAUCUCAAACUUAACUGAAGUUGCCAAAAAAUUUGUUUGUUUAGAGUAGUGAAAUAACUUACAACACCAACUUCGCUGACGCGACAUGUGUAUCCUUCCUUUUCCAAAACAGAUAACAACUUCUUUGCAAAGCUGUCACCGU